rnacentral:misc_RNA from 1 species
AAAAGUCGUAACAAGGUUUCCGUAGGUGAACCUGCGGAAGGAUCAUUAACACGUAUCCAAACGUUAACCCCCCUGUGAACCUUCAAUGUGCUCGUACACUUUGUCAAAGCGAGGCAAUCCCUGGUAAAUCAUCGCCGAACAGUUUUGAUUCUGGGACUUCCUCAAAGAGUGUGCAUGUUGCGCGAGGCAAGUUGCCUGGCAUUCCCAAGCAGUUUGGAUAUCUUGGUUCUC